UACGGAAGGCAGCAGUGGGGAAUAUUGCACAAUGGGCGAAAGCCUGAUGCAGCUAUGCCGCGUGUAUGAAGAAGGCCUUAGGGUUGUAAAGUACUUUCAUCGGGGAGGAAAAAACAAAACUAAUAAUUUUAUUUCUUGACGUUACCCGAAAAAGAAGCACCGGCUAACUCCGUGCCAGCAGCCGCGGUAAUACGGAGGGUGCUAGCGUUAAUCAGAAUUACUGGGCGUAAAGAGCGCGUAGGUGGUUUUUUUAAAGUCAGAUGUGAAAUCCCUGGGCUUAACCUAGGAACUGCAUUUUGAAACUGAAAUACUAGAGUAUCGUAGAGGGAGGUAGAAUUCUAGGUGUAGCGGUGAAAUGCGUAGAUAUCUGGAGGAAUACCUGUGGCGAAAGCGGCCUCCUAAACGAAUACUGACACUGAGGUGCGAAAGCGUGGGGAGCAAACAGGGAUUAGAUACCCGU
rnacentral:rRNA from 1 species